UACAGAGGGGGCAAGCGUUGUUCGGAAUUACUGGGCGUAAAGGGCGCGUAGGCGGCCUGCUAAGUCGAACGUGAAAUCCCUGGGCUCAACCUAGGAACUGCGUCCGAUACGGGUUGGCUUGAAUCCGGGAGAGGGAUGUGGAAUUCCAGGUGUAGCGGUGAAAUGCGUAGAUAUCUGGAGGAACACCGGUGGCGAAGGCGACAUCCUGGACCGGUAUUGACGCUGAGGCGCGAAAGCCAGGGGAGCAAACGGG
rnacentral:rRNA from 1 species